rnacentral:lncRNA from 1 species
GAGAUUCACAGAUUGUUUUCGAGCUGUAAAUAUAGAUGCUAUUUUGUAGGAAACAUUUCAUUAUGGUUCCAGUUACUGGAGCAACAAGGCAACAUACAAUCCAGGAGGAGGCAUGACGGGAUUCGAUGACGUGGAAACAAAACAAGCAACAUACUGGAACACACCGUUCAAAGAAAUAUGUUUAGGAAUGAAAGUAAACAAUGACCUAAAUUUUAUAUCAAUCUCAUAUCAAGCAUCUUCAUUGUACGACGUAAUUGCAGAUGGCAGUUAUCGUGUUACCAGCAUUGGACGAUCGAAAUGGCUGUCUUUGGUACGGGGUUCUGGUUUGCAAUUACGCUGUAACCGUGAGGGGUUUAACGCACGUUCACCUAAACCAGAUCACAUUAACCUACAAGUAGCCCGCAUAGGAAUAAUAGGAAAUGAAGGUGAUGAUGGUUGCAGAUCCCCAGAUUCAUACUUUGGAUUUGGUGGCAUCGCCAAAAACAAGCGUGGUUAUUGUAGGAUGCCAAAAACAUCAAACACAUGUGGCAACGCC